rnacentral:rRNA from 1 species
UACGUAGGGCGCAAGCGUUAUCCGGAAUUAUUGGGCGUAAAGAGCUCGUAGGCGGUUUGUCGCGUCUGCCGUGAAAGUCCGGGGCUCAACUCCGGAUCUGCGGUGGGUACGGGCAGACUAGAGUGAUGUAGGGGAGACUGGAAUUCCUGGUGUAGCGGUGAAAUGCGCAGAUAUCAGGAGGAACACCGAUGGCGUAGGCAGGUCUCUGGGCAUUAACUGACGCUGAGGAGCGAAAGCAUGGGGAGCGAACCGG